GCCACACUUCCGGCCUUUGUGGGCCGCAGCGACGGCGGUCUGCGGCUGUCGGUUCUGUUUGUUGCUGUCACUGCUGUUUGUUCUUGCCAGCGGCUAGGGUCUGGCUGUUUUGCCCAGAAUGGAGUGCAGUGGCGUGAUGGUCUCGGCUGACAGCAGCCUCGACCUCCUGGGCUCAAGCCUUGGCCUCCCAAAGUGCUGGGAUUACAGCCCCACCUGCAGAGUCAAGUCCCUCCUCCCACCUCAGCACUGCUAGAAAAGAGCUUCAGGAUGGAGCCACACAUGUCACUCAAGCCCAAGGGUCAGUCAACAGCCCACAGCCCUAAAUUCAUCUGUGUCCAAUGCCAGACCCUGCAACUGCUGAUUUACAUGAAUCAACUCCAUCAUGCAAGCCUCAUGACAUCCCAAUGAGCCACCAUCCUGUGAGGAAGCCCAGAGCACAUGAAGAGACCACCUGCACAUGUUCAGAUCCACUGCCCCAGCUAAGAUCUCCGCUGACAGCCAGACCAAUCACCAAUCUUAGGAGCUGGCGAGCCUUCAGAUGGUCCAACCUUUGAGGCCCCCCAGAGGAGCCAGGUGGAGCAUAGAUGAGCCAUCCAUGUGGAUCCCUCCACCAAAUGGAAGAUUUAGGAGCAAAAUAAACAAUGUUGUCAUUGCUUUCACCCACGAAA